rnacentral:lncRNA from 1 species
AUCGCCGGGCCCCUACUCCCCUCGCCUCCCGCAUUUCUCUCCUCUCGCUCUCCUCCGCCGCGCUGCCAUGUCCUCCAACGCCAUGUUCUCAAAACCUCAAGGGACCAACUUACACCGCCACAACUUGCACCCAUAUGCUUGAGAAAAAAACCCAACCGGAACCUGAGAAACCCCUCCGAUCUCCCUCAGGUGCUCUCCUUCCCCACAGAUCUCCCGUAUUUCUCUCCUCGACGGUGGUGGCGUUGGAGGCCGUGUGAGGUCUGCGGCGCUGACGCGGUUGGAGCCGAUCCCCAUCGCCCCGGCAAGACCGUGUGUGAGAUGUCGUGGCCGCC